rnacentral:rRNA from 1 species
UUUCCACACCACCAAUCAACCCUUUACCAGUACUGAGUAAUUCUAUAUCCCCUAUAGAAAUUUUUAUGUUAAAACUAGUAACAAGAAGAAGACCUUCUCUUAAAUGUACUCAUAAAUCAGAAAGGACCCCCCACUGAUAAUUAACGUCUAUGAACCUAAAGUAGAAACUCAACCAGAAAAAUUUACUAAACACAACGUUAACCUAACACAAGAGCAUUUCAAGAAAGAUUAAAAGAAAAAGAAGGAACUCGGCAAACAUUAACCCCGCCUGUUUACCAAAAACAUCGCCUCUUGAAAAACAUAAGAGGUCCAGCCUGCCCAGUGACACUGUUCAACGGCCGCGGUAUCCUAACCGUGCGAAGGUAGCGUAAUCACUUGUCCUUUAAAUGGGGACUAGUAUGAACGGCACCACGAGGGUUAUACUGUCUCCUUUUUCCAAUCAGUGAAACUAAUCUUCCCGUGAAGAAGCGGGAAUAUGUUUAUAAGACGAGAAGACCCUAUGGAGCUUUAAACAAAACAACAUUUGCUAUUACACAUGCCAAUCCCAGGAAAUCAACCCUUAUUAUAGCUCUAUGAUUGCCAGUUUUAGGUUGGGGUGACCGCGGAGUAAAAAAUAACCUCCACAAUGAAUGGGGAUCUCCUCUAAACAAAAAGCCACAACUUUAUGUAUCAACAAAUUGACAUCAAUUGACCCAAUAUUUUGAUCAACGAAACAAGUUACCCUAGGGAUAACAGCGCAAUCCAUUUCGAGAGCCCAUAUCGACAAAUGGGUUUACGACCUCGAUGUUGGAUCAGGAUACCCCAGUGGUGCAGCCGCUACUAAA